CCUACGGGUGGCAGCAGUGGGGAAUAUUGCACAAUGGGGGAAACCCUGAUGCAGCGACGCCGCGUGAGUGAAGACGGAACUCGUGAUGUAAAGCUCUAUCAGCAGGGAAGAAAAUGACGGUACCUGAGUAAGAAGCCCCGGCUAACUACGUGCCACCAGCCGCGGUAAUACGGAGGGGGCAAGGGUUAUCCGGAUUUACCGGGUGUAAAGGGAGCGUAGACGGCAGUGCAAGUCUGGAGUGAAAGGCGGGGGCUCAACCCCCGGACUGCUGUGGAAACUGUACGGCUGGAGUGCAGGAGAGGUACGUGGAAUGCCUGGUGUAGCGGUGAAAUGCGUAGAUAUUAGGAGGAACUCCAGUGGCGAAGGCGGCUUACUGGACUGUAACUGACGUUGAGGCUCGAAAGCGUGGGGAGCGAACAGGAUUAGAUACCCGAGUAGUC
rnacentral:rRNA from 1 species